rnacentral:lncRNA from 1 species
UACCAGUUUUAUGGCACAUCUGUUUCUGCAUGAUUUUCUUCAUCUAUAAUUUUAGGAUAUCAUUUCUUUAAAUUUAGUUUUUUGCUCAAGUUACUUAUAAAAGCGUUAUUUUCUAUGUAAAGAUUGAUAAUAGGCCGAUAAACUUACAAAGUUCAACAUUCAAAUAUGUGUCAUUAUUGCACCCGCUGUUGCAGAAACGUUAACAGAAAUUAUCGUUCAUUGCUCAUCCCCCGUAGGUGAUAGCGUGAUAAUAUAUAUCCUAUAUGUUGAACCGGCCCCCAGGUAAUAUUCAUGCAAAAUUUGAUUUAAAUCUAUGCAGUACUUUUCGAGUUCAGUGAGACCAAACAUACAGACAAACAGACAUACAGACAAACAGACAAACAGACAAAAAUUCUAAAAACUAUAUAUUUGGGUUCAGAAUCGAUAAUAGAUCACCCCCCAAGUAUUCUUUUAAAAAAAUAUUCAAUGUACAGUUUUGACUUUCCUAUCAUUUUAUUAUAUGUAUAGAUGUAAUU